GACGAAGGGGGCUAGCGUUGUUCGGAAUUACUGGGCGUAAAGCGAGUGUAGGUGGUUGUCGUAGUCAGGCGUGAAAGCCUUGAGCUCAACUCAAGAAAUGCGCUUGAUACUGGGCAGCUAGAGGACCGGAGAGGAUAGUGGAAUUCCCAGUGUAGUGGUGAAAUACGUAGAGAUUGGGAAGAACACCAGUGGCGAAAGCGACUUCCUGGACCAAUACUGACGCUCAUGUGCGAAAGCGUGGGGAGCAAACAGG
rnacentral:rRNA from 1 species